rnacentral:misc_RNA from 1 species
UGGUUCUCGCAUCGAUGAAGAACGCAGCGAAAUGCGAUAAGUAAUGUGAAUUGCAGAAUUCAGUGAAUCAUCGAAUCUUUGAACGCACCUUGCGCUCCUUGGUAUUCCGAGGAGCAUGCCUGUUUGAGUGUCAUGAAACCCUCAACCUCUGACUUUCUUAAUCGUCGGUCAGCGGCUUGGACUUGGGUGUCUGCCGGUCUUCAUUGAUCGGCUCACCUGAAAUAUAUUAGCGAAUCCCUUCUGUAAUCGGUUCCACUCGACGUGAUAAGUAUUUCGUCGAGGACAUCUUUAUUGAUGGCCGAGAUAAAGCUGGUUCUAGAUCUGCUUCUAACUCUUUCGUUGCCUUCUGGUAAAGAAAAACCCCUCAUGAUCUGGCCUCAAAUCAGGUAGGACUACCCGCUGA